CACUAUCUGCAAUAACAGAAAGCACCUCCUGCUCCAUGCCUAUAAAUAGCCGCAGAUWUCCUGUGCUAAGGUAGCACAAUCAUUUGCCUUUUAAUUGAAGGAUCGUAUGAAAGGACCCAUGACUUCUUCUCUUUAUCCUAUAUUUCCUAUAAAAUUCACCUAUAAGUAAAAAGGCUUAUAUAUCAAGGAAGGACGACAAGACCCUAUAGAACUUCACAUAACUGUUAAACUGGGGCGGUUAACAACAACAACUUACUUAGACCMAUCCAUCAAGACCUGAUAACAUCAACUACAAGAACAAGUUACCUUAGGGAUAACAGAGAAAUUUCCUUACAAAUGACCUUUAAAAGGAAGAUUUCGACCUCGAUGUUGAAUUAAUAUAACUUCAUAACAAAACGUUAUUUAAGUUGGUCUGUUCGACCAUAAAAAUAUUACA
rnacentral:rRNA from 1 species